AGUCGGAGCGCAGAGGGACACGCAGACAUUUCAGCAGAGGCCUCAAAGGCAGAACAAAAUAGUGCAAGGAGCCGCACAUCCGCACAGUGCUGAGACCCUGCCCAGGACAAGCUUGGCCGCAGUAUUCCCUUUGGCACCCCCACCCACCUGGAACAAAGCCUGAUGUAAAGUCUGGGUGCGACUCAGACCGGCCUGGGAAAGAAUUUAUUUAAUAAAUGGUGGAAAGUGGCU
rnacentral:lncRNA from 1 species